AUUCCAGCUCCAAUAGCGUAUAUUAAAGUUGUUGCAGUUAAAAAGCUCGUAGUUGGACUUCUGGCAUGCUGCGCCUGGCCCGCCCGCGUUAGCGGUGUGAGUGCCGGUUUGCGCGGUUGCCAUCCUUCAGAAAAUCCGGCCUGCCUUUUGUUAGGUUGGGUCGGCGAUUCUGAUCGUUUACUUUGAAAAAAUUAGAGUGUUUAAAGCAGGCAAUUGCUGUGAAUACAUUAGCAUGGAAUAAUAAUAUAGGACUUUGGUUCUAUUUUGUUGGUUUCUAGGACUAAAGUAAUGAUUGAUAGGGAUAGUUGGGGGUGCUAGUAUUGAGUGGCCAGAGGUGAAAUUUUCGGACUCACUCAAGACUAACUUAUGCGAAAGCAUUCACCAAGGAUGUCUUCAUUG
rnacentral:rRNA from 1 species